GUCAGGUCAUGCCUGAGUUAGGAUAAAAGACAUUGAUUGUCUUGUGAUUUACUCAUUUUGUAUUUGUUAGACGAUUAGUUUUGUUUUGUCUAAGUUCUUUGUAAUUAUCUUCAUUUUGUAAGUGCAGCUGGGCAUUUUAUCAAUAUAAUCUUCUCACUUUUGACGAGAAAAAAAACAAAAACAAAAACAACCAAAGUCUUCUCAAGGGCCGUUACAAUCUGGCCCAUCCCAAAAAAUAGAAUUGCUCUACCACCUGGAGGGGCAUUCAAAAGGGCUACCCCCUUCUUCAACGUGGAUCCCACAUUCUCAUUGGGGAUGGUUCUUCCACAUCUUUUUGGCUUGAUAACUGGACGGGCCUUGGCUCUCUACGUUCUCUUAUUGCUGAUCCUCUAAAUUGGAAAGAGGAUGACUUGACAGUGCGUGAUUGUUGGGACCAACAUCACUGGAACCUCAACCACAUAUCUUUCAUUUUACCCCCGUCUUUAGUUGAGAGUUUUCAAAACACCAAUGUUUUGUCCUUCACCCAAAAACCUGACCGAAUCAUAAAUCCCAGUAAUGGGGAUUUCUCCUCAAAAUCGGCUUACAACCUCGCCAAUAAUGCUUCUUACUCUGAACCACCAUGAUUCGUCUUGGGUCUGGAAACUCCCGUGCACCCCUAGGAUCCAAUAUUUUUUUUGGCUUAUGGCACAUGAGCGUCUCUCCACGUGCAAUAACCUCUACAUUAGGCACAUCACAAACUCUCCAUGUUGUUCCUGGUGUGACCAGAUUGAGGAGAACACUUACCAUGUUUUGCGCGAUUGUCCACGAGCUAUGGAAGUCUGGAAUGAGAUCGACUUCCCCAACACUCAUUUCAACACCCCUCUUCAUACUUGGGUUCAAAAAAAUCUCAAAAUAUCUGGCUCAAACCAGUUCGGUGUUGGUUGGCGUUUCAUCUUUCCCUUUGCGUGUUAGCAAAUCUGGUGCCACCGCAACAAAAGCCUCUUUGAACCUCAAACCAACUCGAGUUCUGACCAAUCGAAUCAAGUGGUUAAGGUUAUUCUAGCAAAAGCAACGGAAUGGGAGUUCACUAUCAAUCCAGUCUCUUUUAAGUGCCGAAAUAGCAUCCUUGUACGUUGGGUACCUCCACUCGAAUAGGUCUUCAAGCUUAACACGAACAGAUCAGUAAAUCUCGCAACCAAGCGGGCCUCAACAGGCGGCUUAAUCCGAGAUCGCAAUGGCAAUAUGAAAGGCAGUUUCCACCGCAAUAUGAUGGCAGAUUUGAGUACCAUGGCAGAACCCUGAUGGCCUCAAUUUUGCUCUUAUGGAAAACAUUAACAGAUUAGAAGUCAAAACAGAUGCUCUAGCUGCCUCUCAGCUCCUUUCGGCUAAGAAAAUUGAUAAUCACCUGUUGAGUACUGUGAUUUUCGAAUGCAUGUCCCUAAUGCAAUGCUUUGAUAGCUUCACCAUCAACCACAUCUUCAGCGAAGCAAACAAAUGUGCUCACACUUUGGCAAGUGAUACCCCGGUCUCAAUGGGGAAUUUUCUACUAUCUUUACAUUCCGCAUUGUAUUGUUAAUUUCCUAUAUGCAGACUCUAUCGGGGUGGAAUACCCAAGAGAUGUACUAUCUUUGAUUUAGUUUUAAUGCAAGUUCCAGUUAACCAAAAUAAUAAUAAUAAUAAUAAUAAUAAUAGAGGCCAGUGACAACACAAGACUGGUAUAACAUUUAGGGCAAAAUACGGAUUACCUCCCCAUGGUUUGAGCAUUUGGUAGAUGACCUCCCUGACUUUUAUUAAUGAGCAGUUUGCCUCCUCAUGGUUUUGGAGUAAAGUGCUACCAUCAAAUUUUCCACCCAAACUGACGGGAGGUGUAAAACACACGCCUAUUAUGAGACUGAAAAUGAAAAAAAUAAUUAAAUAAAUGAAUAUUUUGGUGUAAGAUGACAGAACUAUCCUUCUCCAUCAUCUUCCCCAACAAUAUCCUCACAAACAACACUACCCUCUCUGGCCCCUUUGUCCACCUUGUCCAACACAUUGAAACUGGAAGCUUAAUCUGUGUAGGGAGUGGCCUCAAACUAAAAGCUUGAACCAUCUCCUUCAAUGGCCCCUGCUUAUUUGCUAAAAGGGUUGUGUAUGCUAUCCUUAAUUUUUCUUUGUCCACUCUUUAAUUACUUUGGCCACAUAAUAGGAACCCAGAAACCCGUCAUCAUUGCUGCAGAUUUCAACGUGACUGCCCACGGAAAUAUCCAUAGGUGGGUUUGGGGAAUUUCUUGAUUCUUGGUUUGUGUCUUUUCCUUUCGGGGAACGGG